rnacentral:rRNA from 1 species
GAUGAACGCUAGCUACAGGCUUAACACAUGCGAGUCGAGGGGCAGCAUGGUCUUAGCUUGCUAAGGCCGAUGGCGACCGGCGCACGGGUGAGUAACACGUAUCCAACCUGCCGUCUACUCUUGGACAGCCUUCUGAAAGGAAGAUUAAUACAAGAUGGCAUCAUGAGUCCGCAUGUUCACAUGAUUAAAGGUAUUCCGGUAGACGAUGGGGAUGCGUUCCAUUAGAUAGUAGGCGGGGUAACGGCCCACCUAGUCUUCGAUGGAUAGGGGUUCUGAGAGGAAGGUCCCCCACAUUGGAACUGAGACACGGUCCAAACUCCUACGGGAGGCAGCAGUGAGGAAUAUUGGUCAAUGGGCGAGAGCCUGAACCAGCCAAGUAGCGUGAAGGAUGACUGCCCUAUGGGUUGUAAACUUCUUUUAUAAAGGAAUAAAGUCGGGUAUGGAUACCCGUUUGCAUGUACUUUAUGAAUAAGGAUCGGCUAACUCCGUGCCAGCAGCCGCGGUAAUACGGAGGAUCCGAGCGUUAUCCGGAUUUAUUGGGUUUAAAGGGAGCGUAGAUGGAUGUUUAAGUCAGUUGUGAAAGUUUGCGGCUCAACCGUAAAAUUGCAGUUGAUACUGGAUAUCUUGAGUGCAGUUGAGGCAGGCGGAAUUCGUGGUGUAGCGGUGAAAUGCUUAGAUAUCACGAAGAACUCCGAUUGCGAAGGCAGCCUGCUAAGCUGCAACUGACAUUGAGGCUCGAAAGUGUGGGUAUCAAACAGGAUUAGAUACCCUGGUAGUCCACACGGUAAACGAUGAAUACUCGCUGUUUGCGAUAUACUGCAAGCGGCCAAGCGAAAGCGUUAAGUAUUCCACCUGGGGAGUACGCCGGCAACGGUGAAACUCAAAGGAAUUGACGGGGGCCCGCACAAGCGGAGGAACAUGUGGUUUAAUUCGAUGAUACGCGAGGAACCUUACCCGGGCUUAAAUUGCAGAUGAAUUACGGUGAAAGCCGUAAGCCGCAAGGCAUCUGUGAAGGUGCUGCAUGGUUGUCGUCAGCUCGUGCCGUGAGGUGUCGGCUUAAGUGCCAUAACGAGCGCAACCCUUGUUGUCAGUUACUAACAGGUUCCGCUGAGGACUCUGACAAGACUGCCAUCGUAAGAUGUGAGGAAGGUGGGGAUGACGUCAAAUCAGCACGGCCCUUACGUCCGGGGCUACACACGUGUUACAAUGGGGGGUACAGAGGGCCGCUACCACGCGAGUGGAUGCCAAUCCCCAAAACCUCUCUCAGUUCGGACUGGAGUCUGCAAACCCGACUCCACGAAGCUGGAUUCGCUAGUAAUCGCGCCUCAGCCACGGCGGCGGUGAAAGCGUUUCCCGAACCCU